rnacentral:lncRNA from 1 species
GGGUGGAGUUAUGGUUAAAUGAUAAUCAUUAUUAUUCUCAAUGCAUUUGCCGAAGGUCAACUGUUAGUAUUAGAAAACAAACCAGUAGCAGCAAUCGACAGCUGCAAUAGGAAGAACAACGGUAGUAGCAAGUGUAUAUUAACUUGAACGUUAUUUCUGACAUCGAAAGAGAGAAGAGACAACGGAAAGAUCAUAAACUGACACUACUAAAGUGUUAAGAAAAAUCAAACGAAACUAAAA